rnacentral:lncRNA from 1 species
CUGCUCAAGAUCGGCUGAAGGAAGCAAAGCUACAUUUCUUGUUUUCUGGUUCCUAUGAACAGAAGCAGAAUUUUUUCACAACAGAAAGUGAAGCAACGAAGUUUUGAGGGUUGCUCCUCAUUUAAUGAUGUGGGAUCUUGUUAUGUUACCCAGGCUGGAGAGCAGUGGCUAUUCACAGGUGUGAUAGACACACUAUGACCUGGAACUCCUGGCCUCAAGUGACCCUCCUGCCUUAGCCUCUCAAGCAGCUGGGACUAUAGGCUCCUGACACCAUAUCCAGCUGAACCUGAUUUUAUAUUCCAGUGGCUGACAAACUAACUCCUCCGAACUACAGAUUCUACCCACCUAAUUUUUGCCAGUUUGUAUGCAAAAGAACAACUUAUCACUUUUUAUUUUCAAGUCACUUCCCUCCAACCAUGUACGUU